UCCUGCAUAACACAUUUUCAAGUGUGUGCAUGGUUCUUAUUUAUUUUUUUAACUUGCAGUGUCUUCUAUUCCUCUACAUUUUACACCAAAAGCCAGUACUUUGGUUCAGAAUGGUUUAAAAGAGGCGUCCAAAGAAUAAUCCCACCCACUGCUCAACUACCACCCCUGUUUGUUACAGACCCGAUGCCCUUGGCUGAUGGAGGAACUGCAUCUGGAGGACGACCAUGAAUCUACCUGCCAACAGACCAGGACUCUGUGAGGGGUGGUGAUGGAGCCGUGCUGAGGACCCGCUGGUGAAGGACGUCCCUCGUGGGGGGGCAAGGACAGCCGACCCUGAGGAUCCGCUCGGAUCUACGAUCGCUACGAUGCGACUGCAGAGGUCUCUGGAAGACCAGGAGUCCUUGGCUGAGGAGAGCUGAUGGAGGAGCCGUGCACCUGGAGAACCAUGAGUCUGCCUGCCAACAAGUAGUACUGGGAUAGGGAGGUGAUGGAGGACCUGCCUGGUGAAGGACGUCAGGGUGGGGCGAGUGACACCCGACUCCAAGGGGAUAUCCACUGAGGAGAGAGCUGAAGGAGCCAUGCAUCUGGAAGGUGCAGUUGAAAUGCUGUGUCCAGUCUGGGACAGACAGACCUGAGCUGCGUCAAGCCUGUAUCUCUGACCAGCUGGAGUCCCUUAGUGAUCAACAACCGCCACUCAUCGCUGGCCUGUGGAUUCAUCUCCUCCACACUCAAACAACAGGACUUUGGCCUGUGGAUUCAUCUCCUCCACACUCACACAACAGGACUUUGGCCUGUGGAUUCAUCUCCUCCACACUCACACAACAGGACUUUGGCCUGUGGAUUCAUCUCCUCCACACUCACGCAACGUGACCUUCUCACCAUCUGUUGCACGUUUGGAUGCACCUAGCGUGUUCCAUCGAGGGUUCCUUCCUCCCCACGGUGGGAGGGUUCCUUGUCCUUCAAGGCGUCGGGGUUCAGUGUUAGGGACAGAGUUAGGGACAGAUGGCUGCGCUGGAUUCACGAUACACGCUUUGUGAUAAAAAUGGGAUCGGACAAAUCGCUUCCCAAAAUGUUUCAAUGUGCAAACGAUUUUAUAAAAUGUAUACUCGUGGUGUUUAU